rnacentral:rRNA from 1 species
UACAGAGACCUCAAGCGUUAUCCGGAAUCAUUGGGCGUAAAGCGUGCCGAUAUGUGGUUUGGUUAGUCUUGGGUGAAAUCCCGAAGCUCAACUUCGGGUUUGCUUAAGAUACUGCCAGACUAGAGGGGCAAAGAGGAGACUGGAACGAACGGUGUAGUAGUGAAAUGCGUUGAUAUCGUUCGGAACACCGAAAGCGAAGGCAGGUCUCUGGGUGCCUCCUGACACUGCUAGGACGAGAGCGUGGGUAGCGAAUGGG